UUAGCUUGUGGCUGUACGGCUUCCGACGGAGGGGCAUGUCAUAUCGCCCAUCGGAGAGGAUUGUCACUUCAAUUUUCAAUCUGGUUGGAUGAACAAGUAAAUUUUUCCGUGGUCACUGUUUAAAGAAUACAAUAUUUAGUUAAAAUAUUCAUUUAUUAUAAGAUUGGUUUAUUUUGGAAGGAGCUAUUUUUUGUUUUGGAUUUGUGCGGUGAGAGGAAGAGUUUUAUUUCCAAGUUUCCUUUUGGAAAACAGUGGCCACGGAAGAAAAUAAGAAGAUGGAAAAUUAAGUCAAUCAUACUUUAAUUUGUUUUUUUGGAAUACAUAAUCAUUUUGGGGAUAUUUUGGUGGAAUGUGGAUGUUUUGUUUGGUUUUUGUGGAAUAAAAGUUGAGUUUUCCGAUACUGGGCAGCUACCUGCUUGCCGUACCUUCCUGUUGGUGUGGAGUACCUCCCUAGGGUUGGGAACCAGAGGAUACCUUAUUUGGCUCUCCCCUCAUCAUCUUCACCGAAGGUUGGAAGAAGCAAUCCGCCUACUUUUUGUAGGGACAGGUUUUUAUAUAACUAAAUUUGCAUGUCAAUUUGUUUUAAUAAUAACUUCCAAUUUUACUAUU